UCCAAACCUCUUUAACAGCAUCUUUG
rnacentral:miRNA from 1 species